rnacentral:rRNA from 1 species
AACGGACGCUGGCGGCAUGCCUAACACAUGCAAGUCGAACGAGACCUUCGGGUCUAGUGGCGCACGGGUGCGUAACGCGUGGGAACCUGCCCUUAGGUUCGGAAUAACUCCCCGAAAGGGGUGCUAAUACCGGAUAAUGUCUUCGGACCAAAGAUUUAUCGCCUUUGGAUGGGCCCGCGUUGGAUUAGCUAGUUGGUAGGGUAAAAGCCUACCAAGGCGCCGAACCAUACCUGGUCUGAUAGGAUGAUCAGCCACACUGGGACUGAGACACGGCCCAGACUUCUACGGCAGGCAGGCGGGGGGAAUUUUGGACAAUCGGCGUAAGGCUGAGCCAGCAAUGCCGGGUGAGUGGUGAAGGCCUUAGGGUUGUAAAGCCCUUUUACCCGGGAUGAUAAUGACAGUACCGGGAGAAUAAGCCCCGGCUAACUACGUG